AUACAUGCAGUCGAACGAGUUCUCGUUGAUGAUCGGUGCUUGCACCGAGAUUCAACAUGGAACGAGUGGCGGACGGGUGAGUAACACGUGGGUAACCUGCCCUUAAGUGGGGGAUAACAUUUGGAAACAGAUGCUAAUACCGCAUAGAUCCAAGAACCGCAUGGUUCUUGGCUGAAAGAUGGCGUAAGCUAUCGCUUUUGGAUGGACCCGCGGCGUAUUAGCUAGUUGGUGAGGUAAUGGCUCACCAAGGCGAUGAUACGUAGCCGAACUGAGAGGUUGAUCGGCCACAUUGGGACUGAGACACGGCCCAAACUCCUACGGGAGGCAGCAGUAGGGAAUCUUCCACAAUGGACGCAAGUCUGAUGGAGCAACGCCGCGUGAGUGAAGAAGGCUUUCGGGUCGUAAAACUCUGUUGUUGGAGAAGAAUGGUCGGCAGAGUAACUGUUGUCGGCGUGACGGUAUCCAACCAGAAAGCCACGGCUAACUACGUGCCAGCAGCCGCGGUAAUACGUAGGUGGCAAGCGUUAUCCGGAUUUAUUGGGCGUAAAGCGAGCGCAGGCGGUUUUUUAAGUCUGAUGUGAAAGCCCUCGGCUUAACCGAGGAAGCGCAUCGGAAACUGGGAAACUUGAGUGCAGAAGAGGACAGUGGAACUCCAUGUGUAGCGGUGAAAUGCGUAGAUAUAUGGAAGAACACCAGUGGCGAAGGCGGCUGUCUGGUCUGUAACUGACGCUGAGGCUCGAAAGCAUGGGUAGCGAACAGGAUUAGAUACCCUGGUAGUCCAUGCCGUAAACGAUGAAUGCUAGGUGUUGGAGGGUUUCCGCCCUUCAGUGCCGCAGCUAACGCAUUAAGCAUUCCGCCUGGGGAGUACGACCGCAAGGUUGAAACUCAAAGGAAUUGACGGGGGCCCGCACAAGCGGUGGAGCAUGUGGUUUAAUUCGAAGCAACGCGAAGAACCUUACCAGGUCUUGACAUCUUUUUGAUCACCUGAGAGAUCAGUUUCCCCUUCGGGGGCAAAAUGACAGGUGGUGCAUGGUUGUCGUCAGCUCGUGUCGUGAGAUGUUGGGUUACGUCCCGCACGAGCGCAACCUUAUGACUAGUGCCAGCAUUUAGUGGCACUCUAGUAAGACUGCCGGUGACCAGCGAGAGGUGGGAUGACGUCAAUCA
rnacentral:rRNA from 1 species